rnacentral:rRNA from 1 species
GACGUAGGGCGCGAGCGUUGUCCGGAUUUACUGGGCGUAAAGGGCGCGUAGGCGGCGGGUCAAGUCGAGUGUGAAAGCCCCGGGCUCAACCUGGGAAUUGCGCUCGAGACUGGUCUGCUUGAGUUCGGGAGAGGAGAGUGGAAUUCCCAGUGUAGAGGUGAAAUUCGUAGAUAUUGGGAAGAACACCGGUGGCGAAGGCGGCUCUCUGGACCGAGACUGACGCUGAGGCGCGAAAGCGUGGGGAGCAAACAGG